GACGAACGCUGGCGGCGUGCUUAACACAUGCAAGUCGAACGCUGAAGCUCAGCUUUUGUUGGGUGGAUGAGUGGCGAACGGGUGAGUAACACGUGAGUAACCUGCCUCCUUCUUUGGGAUAACGCCCGGAAACGGGUGCUAAUACUGGAUAUUCACUGGUCUUCGCAUGGGGGUUGGUGGAAAGGGUUUUUCUGGUGGGGGAUGGGCUCGCGGCCUAUCAGCUUGUUGGUGGGGUGAUGGCCUACCAAGGCUUUGACGGGUAGCCGGCCUGAGAGGGUGACCGGUCACAUUGGGACUGAGAUACGGCCCAGACUCCUACGGGAGGCAGCAGUGGGGAAUAUUGCACAAUGGGCGCAAGCCUGAUGCAGCGACGCCGCGUGAGGGAUGGAGGCCUUCGGGUUGUGAACCUCUUUCGCUCAUGGUCAAGCCGCAACAAUGGUUGUGGUGAGGGUAGUGGGUAAAGAAGCGCCGGCCAACUACGUG
rnacentral:rRNA from 1 species